GCCCGAUCUAUUGAGGUGAGCCUUUAUGUUUCCUCUUCUCUCCCAAUUUCUUUUCUUUUCUCCCGGGAUUAAACCCUAGCUAGCUAAAUUCUCCUCCCUAAUCAAACCCUGCCGACAUUUACCUGUCAGCUGAGGAGGAGGGAAGAUACGGAAGAUGGAUUCUGCUAAGGAGAUUCUCCAGCGGUAAGACCGUCAACGUCCAGUCUCUCCAUCUCUUUCGACUAUCCCCACAUUUCAUCACGCGCAGUUUGUUUAUCCCUUAUUAUUGAUGGAUGCUGUGUGUUGCAACGACAUUGGUAGUACUUGAAGAAAUUGCUCCAUUGCAUUGACGCUGCUUGUCACUGCCGGUUUCCCAGGGUCCAUUCAGAGAAGAAGCCGUGUGUGGAUGGCGAAUCACACCAGCAUUCCACGACGUCGAUGCCUGCCGCGGUAUCCAAGAUGCUCGAAGACGACGAAGACCUCCUCAUGGAGAUCAUUGUCCGUGUCGGCUUCCCCACCACCCUCGUGCGUGCUUCCCUCGUCUGCAAGCGCUGGUACCACCACAUCUCUGACCGCCGGUUCCUCCGCCGCUUCCGCGAGCGCCACCCGCCCCGCCUCCUCGGCUUUUGCCAUGUCCCCGAAGAUGAAUGUUCACAGUCGUCCUGUCCACGCUUCGCCCCGAUUUUGCCUCAGCCCCCAGAGCUCGCUGCCGUGGUCCGCCGCGUGGCGAGCUACAGCUUUGGCGUCGACGGCAACGAAUGGAUCAGGGAGUGCCGGCGCGGCAGUGUCUUAACCGGACGCUAUGAAGGAUUAUUAUGGAGACAUAGAGUGCACCACCCACUGUGCUCUGGGAGAGACAUGGACAUCCUCCCACCACUCCCAAGCGUCCAGAACUCCAGUCACCACAUGUUCAGUACAAUCCUCUCCAAAGAAGAUGGCGCCGGCGGCUUGUCCUACGUGUACAUGUUGGUGGAGAGGGUUGAUGAGAAUAAAGUUUUUAGGGUGCGCGUGUAUAUGUUGCGACACGGUGUCUGGUGCAUGCAUACCUCAUCUACCACACAGAUCCCUCUUCCGCCGUUGCCACGGAAAGUUAUACUUGUUGACAAUAAAAUCUAGAGAAAAGUAUACUUUUCGUCCCUCAACUUUUGGUGAAGUCUAGAUUUGGUCCCUCAACUCCGAAACCGGACAACUUGCACCCUCAACUAACGAAAUCGGACAAGGUUUGUCCCUGGUCUCGAUUUUAACCGGUUUUGGUGCUGACUGACCCCGGUUUUGACCGGUGCCGACUAAAAUUCGCGUAAUUUUUUCAUAUCCGUGAACUUUUUAAAAUUCACAUACUCUUUUCAAAUCCACAUAGUUUUUCAAGGUCGUGCAAUUUUUUCAAAAAUAAACAUACCUUUUUCAAAUCUGUGAACUAUUUUGAAAUUUGUGUACUUUUCCAAAUCCAUGAUUUUUUUAAUUUGCGUAAUUUUCUCAAAUCAGUGUAUUUUUUCAACUUCGUGUAAUUUUAUCGAAUCCAAGUAUUUUUUUCAAAUCCAUCUGUUUUUAAAAUUCACGUACUUGUUUCAAAUCCGCAUACUUUUUAAAGUUCAUGUAUUUUUUUCAAAUCCAUGUUCCUUUCCAAUCCAUGAACUUUGUUUGAAAUUCACAUACUUGUUUCAAGUUGACAUAAAUUUUCAAAUCCACACAUUUUUUUCUAAUUCGCGAAGAUAUUCAAAUCCGCAUACGUUUUCAAUUUCACAUAAAAUUUUCAAACCCAAAAAAAUAUACGUGAAUAGGAAUAAGUAUGUCAAUUUUUAAAAAUUACAUGAAUUUAAAAAAAACCACAGGAACUUUAAAGAAGUACGUGGAUUUUAAAAAAAAGUACGUGAACUUGGAAAAAGUACGCAGAUUUGGAAAAGUACACAAAUUUUUAAAAAGUUCAUGUAUUUGAAAAAAUACCCGAAUUUGAAAACAUUAAACGGACUUGGAAAAGGUAUGCGAAUUUGAGUCGGCACGGUCAAAACCGGGUUGGGACAGCACCAAAACCGGUCAAAACCGUGACCAGGGAUGAAUCUUGGCCGGUUUCAGUAGUUAAGGGCGCAAGUUGUCCGGUUUUGAAGUUGAGGGACCAAAUCUAGACUUCGCCAAGAAUUAAGGGAUGAAAAGUAUACUUUUCUCUAAAAUCUAUAUAGCUGACAAGUUCAGUGAUGACAUUAUUGUCUUGGAUUUGCCAGCCUCAAGUUUCUCCAAAAUUUCAGUCCCACAGGGAGUGCAAUGUCACCAUUAUACCACCAUCUUGUCACGAGCCGAUGAUGCAUCCGGUGUAUAUCUCACCCAUGUUCAUGUCAAGGAGCUUCAGCUUUGUAUCUGGCUCCACAAGGGGCACAACUGGUUGCUGGUCGAUACCAUUUGUUUGCGUCAGAUGUGGGCUAAUUUGAGGAUGCUAGAUCAUACGGUUGAGGAUGAGGAUGUUGAUUUUCACUUCUUAAGCCACGUGGGGGAUAAUGCUGAGUUUGUGCUCUUGGAAAUGUCUAAUUGCAAACUCCAUCUGGACGUCACGAGCAGGACACUGCGUAAAGUGCAUGGGACGCCAUUAAAGAAUGGACAUUUCAUUGAUGUCCAUCCUUUUAUGAUGAUUUGGCCACCCAUAUUCCCUCUGCUGAAGGAUGCUACUGCAAGGUUUGCUAUUUGGCCUUCAUAUGAUCACAAUACUAGUUAAGUGACAUUAGAUAAUGCUUGCCUUAAGAUGUCUUGAAAUCACUUGUGUACUCGGGUAAUACUACUUGCUUAUUGCUACCUACAAAAGUACUCCCUCCGUUCGGAAUUACUUGUCUCGGAAAUGGAUGUAUCUAAAUCUAAAAUACGUCUAGAUACGUUCAUUUCUGCGACAAGUAAUUCCGAACGGAGGGAGUAUAAAACAUGUGUGAGAGCUGAACGUGUGUAGCCUUGUUAUCACGUUGACCACUGUACUUCAUUGUCCUAAAAUAUUAUCACAAACCAAUCAAUCCUGUAAUUUUAGUUUCCCAUUUCUUUAAUCGUUGUGUAAUUUUCUAUUGCCUACCUUUAUACUGUGAACCUCAAGCCUACGAGAUUUGUUUUUGCUGAACUUAUGUAUGUGACUGUCUUUUCUGAUACUUAUGCACUAGUAUGUUAGUACUUGUUUUUUUCUGUCUGAUUGUUGUUUAGUGGAUUCUUUUUCUUAAACACAAUUGGAUUGUACAUUUUACAUGGCAGGUAUGUUUGAGUUUAUGCAUGAAGUGUGAUUCUUUUUUUCCUGUUGCAAUACAAGUGGCCAUUCCAAGCUAACAGCGGGUAAUUUGUGCUUGUGUGUCAGACAUUUCUCCUUGUACGAUCAGGUUUUUGUUUUACUGAAAUGGAAAUAUGUUGGUCUGCAAUAUAAGGACAUUUAAUCUGUAUUGGCUAUAGCUUUUGAUAAAGAAAAUCUUGUUGCUGGGCCAAGUCCAUUCUUUUGAUUUCUGAAUGCACGAAGCAUUUGAAUGAUAAACAAUAAUAAAACGUUAUGAUGCUGAAUUACCUCUACUCUAUCCUGAUCCUUCCUCUGUUUCCUUCAACCAGGAACGUCAUGUGAAGAAGAAGGAGUAUAUCAGGAAGCUUUUGGAUGGUCGGCUACAAUGGUCUCAUCAAGGAAGAGCAGGGAGUUGCAUUUCCUUGGUAGCAGUUCUAACAGUCUUUAUUAUAACUCGUAGUGGAUUAGUUAUGAUGGUAUGUAGCUCGAGCAGGUACUCCUAUCCCUAUGGUACCAUGACUAUUUGCGACCGAGAUAUUGGUUUCAUGAAGAUGACUCCCUGUAUGCAUGUUUACUAGUUAUGCUGACUGAUCCACUUGCAUCGUCGCGGUCUUGUGGUUCCACCGCUUGUUCUGCUUGCCAAUGUGGUAUUUGCAGGACGGUGUAGUAGCUUUACUAGUCGGAGUUCUUUUUAGCAUAACAGCUACUUUUCAUCCGUUGAAAGUUCUCGGUCAACAGUGUUGAUGUUCUCGGUCAUCAGGUCAGGACUGUAAGUGGGAUUUUUGACUCUGCAAGUGCCCAGCUGAACAAACAAUCCUUCUCCCUGCGAUCAGUAGAGAUGGUCAUCUGGUUUUGUUUUGCUCUGCCCAGCAAAACGGACGAGCGCUAGAUCAGUGCUUGGCUAUUGUGCAUGCUUAUCCAAGUAUCUUUCAGAGGCUGGUGUGUCUUGUUGUUUGCUUAACAAGCACUGUAUCUUCCUGAAUAUGUACAGUACCUUUCAGAGUAGAGAUAGCUUGAACCUUGGUUAAAUACGAGUUCUGAAAAAAAAUAGUGUUGUUUAUCAGAUUCGCCAUUGAGACCAUGGAACAUCCAUAAUGCCAUUGAGACCAUUGAAAAACAAGCCUUGUUAACUGUAGGGUCGCCGCUGCUGUAGUUUUUUCUUUGGUCAUUCUGCCAUUGUUUCUU
rnacentral:lncRNA from 1 species